rnacentral:lncRNA from 1 species
CGAGCAGUGGUGACUCCUAAAUUGCCAGACAUGGAUCCUAAUGUGAAGAAGACACAAGAAGACCUGACACACCCACAGAGGAGAAGAUGGUGCGAGAUGGAGCACAGAGAGAAUUCAGAGAGGCUGGCCUUGAGGAUCGGAGUGAUGACGAUGGAGCCGCCAGAAGCUGGAGGAGUGUUGCUUUCCAGUCCACACUUCAAACCCGAGAGUAUUUAGAAGCAUGGGAAAUACAGACCUAAAAUGAAGAUUCUGCACUCGUGCAAAUCUAUUCUCAAAAAGAGCACGUGUCUUUGAGCCUGUCUGUGUUGCCGGUUGACUGUGACAGUUCCCUGAAUCUUUCUGUGGAACGCAAGGCUCAUCGAAGGACAACAAAUAUCUUGAUGCUCUCAUAUACAAUAUUAUUAUUAAAACGCAAAAGCAGCUGUAUCAGUUUGCAAUAAUAUCAGCUUUGUACUUUGUAAAUAAAGUUGUGAAGAAUGACCGAUGCGUGGUGAUAACUACAAAC